rnacentral:rRNA from 1 species
UACGUAGGGUGCGAGCGUUGUCCGGAAUUACUGGGCGUAAAGAGCUCGUAGGUGGUUUGUCGCGUCGUCUGUGAAAUUCCGGGGCUUAACUUCGGGCGUGCAGGCGAUACUGCUGUGGCUAGAGUCUGGUAGAGGAGAGUGGAAUUCCCGGUGUAGCGGUGAAAUGCGUAGAUACUGGUAGGAACACCCAUUGCGAAGGCAGCUCGCUGGACAACACGUGACACUGAGGCGCGAAAGUGUGGGGAGCAAACCGGAUUAGAUACCCGGGUA